AGAAAACCAAGGAAAAAGUAGAAUAACUGAUGAAAAGGAGAAAAAAACAGGACACUCACCGUCAGCUGGGCUGACACCACAACACAGAGUCCUGUUUGUGCAUUGAAGAGGAAAAGGCAAAAUUUGCUGUUCUUUGUCAUGGAUGAUUUUGUUCGGAACAAAUUAACUGAAUGGGGUCUCAGCGAGUUGAGAGAAAGAUUUGAAGAUGAAGGGAUUGACGAGGAAAGUCUUUACUGUCUUUGUGAUCAAGAAAUUAAUAACCUGAUCACAAAGUUGGGACCAAGGGCAAAAUUCAAGAAGAGACUCAAGUCCUUAAAGAAAGAAGAAAAUACAACAAAUCAAACAGUUGAUUCUUCUGCUCAAGUAAGUUAAAUACAGUUUCAUACAAUUAGGUAUCAUCUAAGGCAUUUAUUAAAAUCAUGC